rnacentral:tRNA from 1 species
GCGCCUGUAGCUCAGAGGACAGAGCAAGGGGUUCCUAACCCCUGCGCCGCAGGUUCGAGUCCUGCCAGGCGCA